AGUGAACGCUGGCGGUAGGCCUAAUACAUGCAAGUCGAACGGCAGCACAGUAAGAGCUUGCUCUUACGGGUGGCGAGUGGCGGACGGGUGAGGAAUACAUCGGAAUCUACUUUUUCGUGGGGGAUAACGUAGGGAAACUUACGCUAAUACCGCAUACGACCUACGGGUGAAAGCAGGGGAUCUUCGGACCUUGCGCGAUUGAAUGAGCCGAUGUCGGAUUAGCUAGUUGGCGGGGUAAAGGCCCACCAAGGCGACGAUCCGUAGCUGGUCUGAGAGGAUGAUCAGCCACACUGGAACUGAGACACGGUCCAGACUCCUACGGGAGGCAGCAGUGGGGAAUAUUGGACAAUGGGCGAAAGCAUGAUCCAGCCAUACCGCGUGGGUGAAGAAGGCCUUCGGGUUGUAAAGACCUUUUGUUGGGAAAGAAAAGCAGCAGGUUAAUACCCCGCUGUUCUGACGGUACCCAAAGAAUAAGCACCGGCUAACUUCGUG
rnacentral:rRNA from 1 species